rnacentral:rRNA from 1 species
GAUGAACGCUGGCGGCGUGCCUAAUACAUGCAAGUCGAGCGAACGGACGAGAAUCUUGCUUCUCUGACGUUAGCGGCGGACGGGUGAGUAACACGUGGAUACCCUACCUAUAAGACUGGGAUAACUUCGGGAAACCGGAGCUAAUACCGGAUAAUAUUUUGAACCGCAUGGUUCAAAAGUGAAAGACGGUCUUGCUGUCCCUUAUAGAUGGAUCCGCGCUGCAUUAGCUAGUUGGUAAGGUAACGGCUUACCAAGGCAACGAUGCGUAGCCGACCUGAGAGGGUGAUCGGCCACACUGGAACUGAGACACGGUCCAGACUCCUACGGGAGGCAGCAGUGGGGAAUCUUCCGCAAUGGGCGAAAGCCUGACGGAGCAACGCCGCGUGAGUGAAGAAGGUCUUCGGAUCGUAAAACUCUGUUAUUAGGGAAGAACAAAUGUGUAAGUAACUGUGCACGUCUUGACGGUACCUAAUCAGAAAGCCACGGCUAACUACGUG